AACCCUAAACCCUAAACCCUAAACCCUAAACCCUAAACCCUAAACCCUAAACCCUAAAACCCUAAACCCUAAACGUUAUUUCUUAAUAUUUCUAUUUGUUUUUAUUUCUAAAGUUUAAAAAAAAAUGAACUAAGAGGGGUUAUUUGCUACCGUUCUAUCUCUCAAAAAAAAAAAAACGAAAAAAUGAAAAAAAUAUAUAUAUUAUGUCUUUUCUUAUUAGUAUCACACGUAUUUUUUUAUGUUAAAUAAUUUCAAAUAGAAUAUGCAUUACAUCAAUUGCAUUAAUCAGGAAAUGAAAUUAAAUUUAAGCGAAAUGUGUAAAAAUACGGAAAAAAAUAAUUGUUUAUGUACUAUUGCAUUCGAAGGCAAUAUUUUGUGCCGUUUUCAUUUUGCUUAUAUUACCAACAACACUUUAUUUUUACAAAACCAAAAAAUAAAAUAUAAAUUUCUGUUAAACCGACAU
rnacentral:lncRNA from 1 species